ACUCCUACGGGAGGCAGCAGUGGGGAAUAUUGCACAAUGGGCGCAAGCCUGAUGCAGCCAUGCCGCGUGUGUGAAGAAGGCCUUCGGGUUGUAAAGCACUUUCAGUCGUGAGGAAGGUAGUGUAGUUAAUAGCUGCAUUAUUUGUACGUUAGCGACAGAAGAAGCACCGCUAACUCCGUGCCAGCAGCCGCGGUAAGUACGGAGGGUGCGAGCGUUAAUCGGAAUUACUGGGCGUAAAGCGCAUGCAGGUUGGUUUGUUAAGUCAGAUGUGAAAGCCCGGGGCUCAACCUCGGAAUAGCAUUUGAAACUGGCAGACUAGAGUACUGGUAGAGGGGGGUUAGAA
rnacentral:rRNA from 1 species